rnacentral:tRNA from 1 species
GAGGGUAUCGCUCAACUGGUAGAGUGCAUGCUUAGCGUGCAUGAGGUUCUGGGUUCGAUCUCCAGUACCUCUU